AACGAACGCUGGCGGCAGGCCUAACACAUGCAAGUCGAACGCCCCGCAAGGGGAGUGGCAGACGGGUGAGUAACGCGUGGGAACCUACCUUUCGGUGCGGAAUAACUUCGGGAAACCAAAGCUAAUACCGCAUACGCCCUACGGGGGAAAGAUUUAUCGCCGAUAGAUGGGCCCGCGUCGGAUUAGCUAGUUGGUGAGGUAAUGGCUCACCAAGGCUACGAUCCGUAGCCGGUCUGAGAGGAUGAUCAGCCACACUGGGACUGAGACACGGCCCAGACGCCUACGGGAGGCAGCAGUGUGGAAUAUUGGACAAUGGGCGCAAGCCUGAUCCAGCCAUGCCGCGUGAGUGAAGAAGGCCUUAGGGUUGUAAAGCUCUUUUAGUGGGGACGAUAAUGACGGUACCCACAGAAUAAGCCCCGGCUAACUUCGUGCCAGCCGCCGUAAGAC
rnacentral:rRNA from 1 species